GCACAGAGGGAACAGCUCUCCGAAGAGAGAAUCCCCCCUGCUAAGAAUUUAGCUUCUGCAACAGAGCGGGGGCUGAAAGGAACAGAAUCAGAAAACAGUAAAGGAGGAAAAGAAGCAGAGCCAGAACUUGAACCACAACCUGCUCUUAUCUGUUGCAUCUUAACACCUCUCUCAGGCCGCCAGCCACUUGCACACCUUCGGAGUCCCGGGCUUCCUGUGACAGCCCAGCCCUCUGUCUUCGGCUUUCUGGGCUUGAGAACCACCGUCUACGCUCCAGCCGUAUAGGAUGAAGAGCCAGGAAAAAGGUAGCUGAUGCCAGUCUGUGUGAGUUAACUAGUAGGCUGGGCUUGCAAGCAAGAAAUCUG